CUAUCUGCUGGUGGCCGGAGUCUGGUGGAUCCAGCCGAUCCGCACCGAACCCACUCCCACCGGUAAGUCUUCUUCUUCGCGUUUCCGGUCGACAUCUCCGAUCUCUUAAGCCCGGUACUCGCACCAGGAAAACGUCGACGAAAGCCAAAACACAAAUGGCCGUUCCGCUAUCUUUUCGCAUUCGUUUUUAACUCACAUACCAGAAAGUUCUUCGACGGAACUCUACCGUCUGCCGUAUAUUGAUAGUAGGCCGAAAUAACAAUAUAAAUACAAAACAUGGCGCCGGAAAGUGUUGCGGCUUUGUAUCACUUAAAUUUAUCGAUUAUGAUAAUGAAAAACCGUUAUAAAGACGUGGAUGCUUCCUUACCUAUUCGAUAAAUUCUUCGAAGCGUCUAUCGAGAGCUCGAUGCUUCGAAGAGUAUUCGAAAUAUCGAAGCCUCCCUUUAAGCAGUUCGUCAUUUUUACGUCAGUAGGUGCGACGUGUGGCUGGAAUAGAUGUCAUGGUAACAACUGUUAUCUGCUAUUGUUACAGUUAUUGCCGUUCCGUUGGACGGAACGGAAAACUUGAAAUAUUUCGAUUCGGUAUUCCGUCGGCUUUCCUUCGUCCUCGACCACAAAAAUGAUGUCAUUUUUGCUUUCAUCGACGUUUUCCGCGUGUGAGUACCAGUCUUUAGCCUCCCUUUUUUUUCACUUACUCCGCCAUUUAGCCGUCCUAAGGCACGCGCCUCUGCCGGUCGCUUUUUAAUCGGUUGGAGACCAAUUUACCUUUUUAUUUCCUCACCUGGUCUUCUUCCACCUUCCCGAAACCAGGGCUGGAUAUCCGCCUACCGACCUUCUUGGUUCCAUUUAUCCAGCGCUGGCGGCUUUCUACCAGCAGCGGAAGUUUUAUAUAAUUUUCCGAAGAUUUAAAUAUGCAGGCAUUUGGACUCGCCUGUUCUUUGUAGCUAUAUAUAUAUAUAUAAAUAUACAGGCUUUCCUCGCCUUCUUACUACUUCGGUAGUAAGUAAAAGAGCGACAUAAUGUGACGCUUUGUGUACUCGAUGGUGACUGGCUAUCUUUAAAGGGUUAUAAUUCGAAAACGAUGCCAUUUAGAGAUAUUUUCGAC
rnacentral:lncRNA from 1 species